AGAGCGAACGCUGGCGGCAGGCCUAACACAUGCAAGUCGAACGGACCCUUCGGGGUUAGUGGCGGACGGGUGAGUAACACGUGGGAACGUGCCUUUAGGUUCGGAAUGGCUCCUGGAAACGGGUGGUAAUGCCGAAUGUGCCCUUCGGGGGAAAGAUUUAUCGCCUUUAGAGCGGCCCGCGUCUGAUUAGCUAGUUGGUGAGGUAAAGGCUCACCAAGGCUACGAUCAGUAGCUGGUCUGAGAGGAUGACCAGCCACAUUGGGACUGAGACACGGCCCAAACUCCUACGGGAGGCAGCAGUGGGGAAUCUUGCGCAAUGGGCGAAAGCCUGACGCAGCCAUGCCGCGUGAAUGAUGAAGGUCUUAGGAUUGUAAAAUUCUUUCAGUAGGACGAUAAUGACGGUACCUACAGAAGAAGCCCCGGCUAACUUCGUGCCAGCAGCCGC
rnacentral:rRNA from 1 species